rnacentral:rRNA from 1 species
UGCUCAGAUUGAACGCUGGCGGCAGGCCUAACACAUGCAAGUCGAGCGGCAGCGGAAAGUAGCUUGCUACUUUGCCGGCGAGCGGCGGACGGGUGAGUAAUGUCUGGGAAACUGCCCGAUGGAGGGGGAUAACUACUGGAAACGGUNGCUAAUACCGCAUAACGUCUNCGGACCAAAGUGGGGGACCUUCGGGCCUCACACCAUCGGAUGUGCCCAGAUGGGAUUAGCUAGUAGGUGGGGUAACGGCUCACCUAGGCGACGAUCCCUAGCUGGUCUGAGAGGAUGACCAGCCACACUGGAACUGAGACACGGUCCAGA